rnacentral:rRNA from 1 species
AGAGUUUGAUCCUGGCUCAGGAUUAACGCUGGCGGCAUGCCUAAUACAUGCAAGUCGAACGAGAGUAGCAAUACUCUAGUGGCGAACGGGUGAGUAACACGUAGGAAACCUACCUCAAAGACGAGGAUAACUACUGGAAACGGUAGCUAAAACUGGAUAGGAUAUACAAAGGCAUCUUAGUAUAUUUAAAAGUCCUUCUGGGAAUGCUAUGAGAUGGUCCUGCGGCGCAUUAGCUAGUUGGUGAGGUAAAGGCCCACCAAGGCGACGAUGCGUAGCUGUGCUGAGAGGCAAAACAGCCACACUGGGACUGAGACACGGCCCAGACUCCUACGGGAGGCAGCAGUAGGGAAUUUUCGGCAAUGGGCGAAAGCCUGACCGAGCAAUGCCGCGUGAAUGAAGAAAUUCUUCGGAAUGUAAAAUUCUGUGGUGAGGGAAGAAAGGUAUUAGAAGGAAAUGGCUAAUAUUUGACGGUACCUUACUAGAAAGCCCCGGCUAACUAUGUGCCAGCAGCCGCGGUAAUACAUAGGGGGCAAGCGUUAUCCGGAAUUAUUGGGCGUAAAGCGUGCGUAGGCGGCCACUUAAGUCUGUCGUGAAAGCCCACAGCUUAACUGUGGAGGGUCGAUGGAAACUGAGAGGCUUGAAUCUAGGAGAGGUAAGUGGAAUUCCAUGUGUAGCGGUAAAAUGCUUAGAUAUAUGGAGGAACACCAGUGGCGAAGGCGGCUUACUGGUCUAGAAUUGACGCUGAUGCACGAAAGCGUGGGUAGCAAACAGGAUUAGAUACCCUGGUAGUCCACGCCGUAAACGCUGUCUCUUAUACACAUCUGACGCUGCCGA